AGCCUUCUGUAUCCGUACUGGGAUUUCGUCACACCAGAUGACAAGGGAUGAUGAGACUUCCAAGAUAAGUGAAGCG
rnacentral:pre_miRNA from 1 species